rnacentral:rRNA from 1 species
CUGUGGUGGAUUAGUGGCGAACGGGCGAGUAACACGUGAGUAACCUGUCCUUUUCUUUGGGAUAACGGCUGGAAACGGCUGCUAAUACUGGAUAUUCAGGCUGCAUCGCAUGGUGUGGUUUGGAAAGGUUUUUUCUGGGAUUGGGUGGGCUCGCGGCCUAUCAGCUUGUUGGUGGGGUGAUGGCUUACCAAGGCUUUGACGGGUAGCCGGCCUGAGAGGGUGGUCGGUCGCACUGGGACUGAGAUACGGCCCAGACUCCUACGGGAGGCAGCAGUGGGGAAUAUUGCACAAUGGACGAAAGUUUGAUGCAGCGACGCCGCGUGGAGGGUGUAGGCCUUCGGGUUGUGAACUCCUUUUUCUCGCGAAAAAGGCACAGUUUUGGCUGUGUUGAUGGUAGUGGGGGAAGAAGCGCCGGCUAACUACGUGCCAGCAGCCGCGGUAAUACGUAGGGCGCGAGCGUUGUCCGGAUUUAUUGGGCGUAAAGAGCUCGUAGGUGGUUCGUCGCGUCUGUCGUGAAAGCCAGCAGCUUAACUGUUGGUCUGCGGUGGGUACGGGCGGGCUUGAGUGCGGUAGGGGU